rnacentral:lncRNA from 1 species
UCUUGAUCUGGGAGCUGUGCCCUCUACACUCAUCCCCUGCCCUCAGCCAAUGACUUAGUGACAUGGAGCGUGAAGGGCAGGCUCCCUUCUCUCAAGGGAGCUACCAACUCUGGUACAGUUCAUGCUUCAGAGUUUCCCCAUGGGAACAGGCUGAAGCUGAUCUUCCAGGGAGACCACGUUCUUGCUUCACCUUUUUCCUAUGACCUAUGUUGAUUCUCUCAUUCCCUUUCUCCUGGGAAUAUUCAGAAAAAAAACAUCACUUGUAAGAGAAUAUCCAUCUCAAGGUCUGCUUCUAGGGAACCUACCUGAGGCACUAAGAACUUCUCUUUGCCCGGGGCAGGACUUUGCCCCUGCCUGGGUCCACCAAGAACCCUGGGCUUCAACAGUUGAACUGGUGGCUACUUCAAGACUCGACACAGAUAUUACCUUUUAUUGGAACUGAACAUUAUGAAUUGCCCUCACCACACUGAUGCUUUCUGACUGAGCUUCACUCUACCCUGAAUACAAGAGACACUAAUAGGCAGGAAUAUCAUUGCCCCCAUUCAGCCUGAAGAAGUUCCAGAAGAUGGAUCUUCAUCCCUCUACAACCCUGAAAAUUAAGGGGAAAUGUCAGAGGUGUCUGACCAGAACAACUCCAUUUUGAAUAGGGGCUGGGUAAAAUAAGGCUGAGACCUGCUGGGCUGCAUUCCCAGAGGACUAAGCAUUUUAAGUUACAGGAUGAGACAGGAGGUCGGCACGAGAUACAGGUCAUCAGGUCAUAAAGACCUUGCUGAUAAAACAGGUUGCAGUUAAGAAGCUGGCUAAAACCCACCAAAACCAAGAGAGUGACCUCUGGUUGUCCUCCCUGCUCCACUCCCACCAGCACCAUGACAGAUUACAAAUGCCAUGGCAAUAUCAGGAAGUCAUCCUAUAUGAUCUUAAAAGAGGAGGUGUGAAUAAUCCAAUCCUUGUGUAGCAUAUCAUCAAAAAAUAACCAUACGGAGUAGCCAUCCUUUUAUUCCUUUACUUUCUCAAUGCAUUUGCUUUCGCUUUCGAAAACAGCCAGCAUAUUAAAUUUUAUUACCACAAGAUUCAAGCCACAACAAAACCAUGGUAAUCAAGACAGUGAGAUGCUGGCUUAAAGACAGACAUAUAGAUCAAUGGAAUAGAAUUGAGAAUCCAGAAAUAAACCCUUAUAUUUUUUUACAAGCAUGUACAGAAUAGUCUUUUCAAUAAAUGGUGCUGGGACAACUAGACAUCCAUAUGCAAAAGAACAAAGUUGAACCAUUACCACACAUCAUGCAAAAACUAACCCAAAAUGGAUCAGAGACCUAAAUGUAAAAGCUAAAGCUAUAAAACACUUAGAAGAAAAUAGGCAUAAAUCUUUGUCACCUUUAAUUAGGCAAGUAUCUCUUAGAUAUGAUAACAAAAGCACAAGUGACAAAAGAAAAAAAAUAGAUAGUUGGACUUCAUCGAAAUAUGAAACUUUUGUGCUUCAAGGCAUACUAUAAAGAAAGUGAAAAGGCC